GGUCUUUGCUUAUUUUUGUCAUAAAUUGUAACUCAUAGUAAUACAAAAACAGGUCCGCAAUAAGUGGUGCACAGUUAGUCCCCAUUGGAAUUCCGAUAAUCUGACGAUAUACGGAAUUCCUAAAGCGAACAAAAAUGUUAUUUAGUAAAAAUUCAAGGGCAUAUAUAGUAUCAAAGCAUGUCCAAUUGACAUAGUUUUUUUGUUUAUUGCUACCAAAAAA
rnacentral:lncRNA from 1 species